AUUGAACGCUGGCGGCAGGCCUAACACAUGCACGUCGAACGAGUGGCGGACGGGUGAGUAAUGUCUGGGAAACUGCCUGAUGGAGGGGGAUAACUACUGGAAACGGUAGCUAAUACCGCAUACCAUCAGAUGUGCCCAGAUGGGAUUAGCUAGUAGGUGGGGUAACUGCUCCCCUAGGCGACGAUCCCUAGCUGGUCUGAGAGGAUGACCAGCCACCCUGGAACUGAGACACGGUCCAGACUCCUACGGGAGGCAGCAGUGGGGAAUAUUGCACAAUGGGCGCAAGCUUGAUGCAGCCAUGCCGCGUGUAUGAAGAAGGCCUUCGGGUUGUAAAGUACUUUCAGCGGGGAGGCGUUACCCGCAGAAGAAGCAACGGCUAACUCCGUGCCAGCCGCCGCGGUAAUAC
rnacentral:rRNA from 1 species